rnacentral:rRNA from 1 species
UACGUAGGGUGCAAGCGUUAAUCGGAAUUACUGGGCGUAAAGGGCGCGUAGGCGGUUUGCUAAGUUGAAUGUGAAAACUCUGGGCUUAACCCAGAGCCUGCAUUCAAUACUGGCAGGCUAGAGUUCUGGAGGGGAUAGCGGAAUUCCUGGUGUAGCGGUGAAAUGCGUAGAUAUUGGGAGGAACACCAGUGGCGAAGGCGGCUCACUGGACCGGUACUGACGCUGAUGCGCGAAAGCGUGGGGAGCAAACGGG